GCCUGGUUGGCGCAAUUGGUGGAGCAUGUGACUCUUGAUCUCAGGGUUGUAGGUUCGAGCCCCACAAUGGGUG
rnacentral:tRNA from 1 species